GCCAGUGUGGUGGAGUGGUUUGAGUGUUGGACUAUGACUCCAGAGGCCAGGAUUUGAUUCCCAGCUUGGCCA
rnacentral:tRNA from 1 species